rnacentral:rRNA from 1 species
CUUGCUGGUGGAUUAGUGGCGAACGGGUGAGUAACACGUGAGUAACCUGCCCUUAACUCUGGGAUAAGCCUGGGAAACUGGGUCUAAUACCGGAUAUGACUCCUCAUCGCAUGGUGGGGGGUGGAAAGCUUUAUUGUGGUUUUGGAUGGACUCGCGGCCUAUCAGCUUGUUGGUGAGGUAAUGGCUCACCAAGGCGACGACGGGUAGCCGGCCUGAGAGGGUGACCGGCCACACUGGGACUGAGACACGGCCCAGACUCCUACGGGAGGCAGCAGUGGGGAAUAUUGCACAAUGGGCGAAAGCCUGAUGCAGCGACGCCGCGUGAGGGAUGACGGCCUUCGGGUUGUAAACCUCUUUCAGUAGGGAAGAAGCGAAAGUGACGGUACCUGCAGAAGAAGCGCCGGCUAACUACGUGCCAGCAGCCGCGGUAAUACGUAGGGCGCAAGCGUUAUCCGGAAUUAUUGGGCGUAAAGAGCUCGUAGGCGGUUUGUCGCGUCUGCCGUGAAAGUCCGGGGCUCAACUCCGGAUCUGCGGUGGGUACGGGCAGACUAGAGUGAUGUAGGGGAGACUGGAAUUCCUGGUGUAGCGGUGAAAUGCGCAGAUAUCAGGAGGAACACCGAUGGCGAAGGCAGGUCUCUGGGCAUUAACUGACGCUGAGGAGCGAAAGCAUGGGGAGCGAACAGGAUUAGAUACCCUGGUAGUCCAUGCCGUAAACGUUGGGCACUAGGUGUGGGGGACAUUCCACGUUUUCCGCGCCGUAGCUAAACCCAUUAAGUGCCCCGCCUGGGGAGUACGGCCGCAAGGCUAAAACUCAAAGGAAUUGACGGGGGCCCGCACAAGCGGCGGAGCAUGCGGAUUAAUUCGAUGCAACGCGAAGAACCUUACCAAGGCUUGACAUGAACCGGAAAUACCUGGAAACAGGUGCCCCGCUUGCGGUCGGUUUACAGGUGGUGCAUGGUUGUCGUCAGCUCGUGUCGUGAGAUGUUGGGUUAAGUCCCGCAACGAGCGCAACCCUCGUUCUAUGUUGCCAGCGCGUUAUGGCGGGGACUCAUAGGAGACUGCCGGGGUCAACUCGGAGGAAGGUGGGGACGACGUCAAAUCAUCAUGCCCCUUAUGUCUUGGGCUUCACGCAUGCUACAAUGGCCGGUACAAAGGGUUGCGAUACUGUGAGGUGGAGCUAAUCCCAAAAAGCCGGUCUCAGUUCGGAUUGGGGUCUGCAACUCGACCCCAUGAAGUCGGAGUCGCUAGUAAUCGCAGAUCAGCAACGCUGCGGUGAAUACGUUCCCGGGCCUUGUACACACCGCCCGUCAAGUCACGAAAGUUGGUAACAUCCCGAAGCCGGUGG